UUAAUACUCCCUCCGUCCGAAAAAACUUGUCCCAUACUUGUUUUUCAAAUGGAUGUAUCUAACACCAAGUGCUAGAUACAUCCAUUUGAGGGACAAGCUUUUUCGGACGGAGGCAAUAUCUU
rfam:Triticum aestivum genome assembly, contig: Triticum_aestivum_CS42_TGACv1_scaffold_377359_5AL